AGUUGGUCGAACGGCUGCGGAAUUUUAUAUUCUGAGGAAAGUCCGAGCUUCGCAGGGCAGAAUAGCAGCUAACGGCUGCCGAGGGUGACCUCAGGACAAGUGCAACAGAGAUAUACCGCCUAAUUUUUAGGUAAGGGUGGAAAGGCGGGGUAAGAGCCCACCCGACGGUAAGGUAACUUAUCGCCGAUGUAAACUCUAUUCGAAGCAACGCUAAGUUUGGCAAUACGCUUGCCCGGCGUGCCAAGAAAAGCGGCUUGAGCGCAAGGGCGACUUUGCGCCUAGAUAGAUAGUCGUUAAGGAGAAAUCCUACAGAACUCGGCUUACAGACCAACUUA
rnacentral:RNase_P_RNA from 1 species